rnacentral:tRNA from 1 species
GGGCGCUUAGCUCAGCUGGUUAGAGCGCGUGAUUCACAUUCACGAGGUCAGUGGUUCAAGUCCACUAGCGCCCACCC